UGGGAAUAUUUGACAUAGCAGCUGCCAA
rnacentral:piRNA from 1 species